AACGAACGCUGGCGGCAUGCCUAACACAUGCAAGUCGAACGAGACCUUCGGGUCUAGUGGCGCACGGGUGCGUAACGCGUGGGAACCUGCCCUUGGGUUCGGAAUAACUCCCCGAAAGGGGUGCUAAUACCGGAUAAUGUCUUCGGACCAAAGAUUUAUCGCCUUUGGAUGGGCCCGCGUUGGAUUAGCUAGUUGGUAGGGUAAAAGCCUACCAAGGCGACGAUCCAUAGCUGGUCUGAGGGGAUGAUCAGCCACACUGGGACUGAGACACGGCCCAGACUCCUACGGGAGGCAGCAGUGGGGAAUAUUGGACAAUGGGCGAAAGCCUGAUCCAGCAAUGCCGCGUGAGUGAUGAAGGCCUUAGGGUUGUAAAGCUCUUUUACCCGGGAUGAUAAUGACAGUACCGGGAGAAUAAGCUCCGGCUAACUCCGUG
rnacentral:rRNA from 1 species